GUGGGGGCAGGGAGUCCUGAAAGGUGGGGGAGGAGUUAAACUGAACUCCGAAGAGAAGCUAAUUUCAAAUCAUCUCUCUCUCAUCGUACAGUAUAGCUUUAAGUCAUCUGCAUCUCAAAGGCUUGGGGUGCGUCCCAUUUCUACCCCUUACCCCUCCCCCUUACCCCUCCCCCUUGGUUUGAAGGGGUAAGGGUGUCCCAAUUCUCAUUUUGGUUAAGGGGUAGGGCGAAGACAAAAGGCUACGUAGCCCUUGAAAUGAAGCGAAAACGUAGCUUGAAACGAAGCUAUCCAAGGACCACACUUCAAAGGGAGGGCUUCGAGGAAAAUCCGGCCGAAAAUGCAUUUUUACUAGUUGUUAUCAUUCGGACUCAUUAUGUAAAGUUGACUGUAUAUUCAGCUCGAAGUCAUACACGGACAAUGCGAUCUCUGAGCUCGAUAUAAAACAUGACAUAACGGUAAAUAACCGUUGAACUAUACAUACAAGAUUUUGGCGCGCUCUAGUGGCCAAGCGAAAUCACCAUCAUCAUCAACAGCAUCAUUAUCAACAGCAGCGAUGGCUCAAACAAAGGAAAUGCACAAAUGGACACCACAGGAGACCAGACACCUCAUUAAUUUCAGGUCGACCAGGGACAAUGAGUUUCUCAAGUCAAAAAUGAUCGCCUGAAAACAGUGGGAGUGAGUCUUACGUUGUUCAAUCUUUUCAUUCUUGCGUCUGUUUUCUACUUUGGUAUUUCUGUGUUGAGCUCAAUAGCCCACUGAAUGUCUGUGUCGUUAUACUGUACGUUGGCUGUGAUGUAGGCUUUUUCUGGAAGAAAUGGGGAUGGAGGGAAAAGUUACAAGGCAACAGGCUUCUAAGAAGUGGGAAAACCUCAAAAAGAAGUACAAGGAUUUGAGGACUCCCAAAACUGGGUCGGGGACGGAAAGUGGGGAGGUGACAGUGGCGACGUGGCAGUAUUAUGAUUUGAUGCACAAGGUUCUUGGUGCCCGGCCAACAAUCGACCCACCAGUCCUUGUGUCCUCGAUUCAAGAAGACCCCAUGGUUAUCCUCAUGGAGAUGGUGGAGCCCUACAACCAAGCACCCCCGACAGCAGCCAGCACCCCAGUACACCCGCCGACCACAUCAAUCAUGCGAAGGAGGUCCAAAACAGUUGCAGAACUCCUGGCUGAGGAGGCACUUCAGGAGCAGAGGCGCCAUGAAGAGAGUGAGGCCAAGACAGAUCGCUUUCUUGAUCUCUUUGAGAGGAUGGUCAACAAAUUAUAAUUAUUGAUUUUUGUUGUUCCUAUGUUUUUGGUAUGCUAUUUAUUAUUCCUAUUUAUUAUUGUUGUAUAUAUUUCUAUUUA